rnacentral:rRNA from 1 species
UACGUAGGGUGCAAGCGUUGUCCGGAAUUAUUGGGCGUAAAGAGCUCGUAGGCGGUUUGUCGCGUCUGCUGUGAAAACUCGGGGCUUAACCCCGGGCCGGCAGUGGGUACGGGCAGACUAGAGUGCGGUAGGGGAGACUGGAAUUCCUGGUGUAGCGGUGAAAUGCGCAGAUAUCAGGAGGAACACCGGUGGCGAAGGCGGGUCUCUGGGCAGUAACUGACGCUGAGGAGCGAAAGCGUGGGGAGCGAACAGG